CAAUAGCGUCUAUUAAAGCUGUUGCGGUUAAAAAGCUCGUAGUUGGAUUUCUGUCAAGGACAACUGGUCCGCCCUCCGGGUGAGCACAUAGUUUGGUCUUGACAUCUUGCUGGAAGCUGUUGCUGCACUUGGCUGUGUGGCGCAGUGUUCAACACUUUCACUUUGAGGAAAUUGGAGUGUUUCAAGCAGGCACAUGCCUUUGGACACAGUAGCAUGGAAUAAUUAGAUUGGGCUUUUGCUCCAAUUUGUCGGUUUCUGGAGCUGAGGUGAGUAUUAAUGGGGAUUGUUGGGGGCAUCCGAAUUUAGCCGUCAGAGGUGAAAUUCUUGGAUCUGCUAAAGACGGACAACUGCGAAAGCGUUUGCCCAGGAUGUUUUCAUUGA
rnacentral:rRNA from 1 species